UACAGAGGAGCCAAGCGUUGUCCGGAUUGACUGGGCGUAAAGCGCACGCAGGCGGACGCGCGCGUGGGGUGUGAAUCUGGCCGCUUAACGGCCAGGCGCCAUCCCAUACGGCGCGCGGAGCAAUUGCAGAGGUCGGUGGAAUUGCCGGUGUAGUGGUGAAAUGCGUAGAUAUCGGGAGGAACACCAGUGGCGAAGGCGACUACCUGGCCUGU
rnacentral:rRNA from 1 species